UUCUUUCGACUAGAAAAUUUU
rnacentral:piRNA from 1 species